UACGUAGGUGGCAAGCGUUGUCCGGAAUUAUUGGGCGUAAAGCGCGCGCAGGCGGCCUUUUAAGUCUGAUGUGAAAGCCCACGGCUCAACCGUGGAAGGUCAUUGGAAACUGAAAGGCUUGAGUACAGAAGAGGAAAGCGGAAUUCCACGUGUAGCGGUGAAAUGCGUAGAGAUGUGGAGGAACACCAGUGGCGAAGGCGGCCCACUGGCUCGGUACUGACGCUGAGGUGCGAAAGCGUGGGGAGCAAACAGG
rnacentral:rRNA from 1 species